CGGUCCCGGCGCUGUCUCCCGGACCGCCGCCGCUGCGGGGCCAGGGCCCUGUACGGCCCACGGCGGGGGUCCGGGGCGGCAGCUGAGGGCCGACGGAGGCCGCGCUUGCGAGCCCCGGCGCCGGGUACCUGAAUCGGUGAAAUGAAGUCUGUCUUAACUGGCGAUAAAUCAGCUUAGAUUGCCCUGAGAUGAGACUGUUUUGCCUGGGAUGGUAGCUGUUGGAGAAUGCGUGUGACACCCAGCCCUGUCACGGCCUGGAACUGGAGUAAUAAGAAGGACUCUGGAAGAAGCCAUGAUCCUGGUCCUGGGAAUAUGUGGUGGUGGAAGUGGCGCAGCCAGUGUGUGUCCAGGGGUGAAGGGUGGAAUGUAAAGGACACAAAUUGCAGGGGGUAUCAGGGGAUGGCAGUGGUGACCUGGGUGGAGACCAGAACUGCUCAGUGCCAGCCAGAACCAGCUACCUCCAACACCAAUGUAAACACUAUAUCAUGCCAAAAUUUAAACUCCACGGUGCCCUGGCUCAGACACGCUGUUGGAAAUACAGGUGCACAAUUUGAAAAAGAUCCAUGCUGAAAGGGCUUACUUCUGAGGGGAAUGCAGCUGGUGGAUGAGCCAUGCUGGAGCAAGGAAACCCCUGAAGGCACUGUGGCCACUGGGUGACCUAUGCUGGAGAAGGUAUACCACUGAAAAGACAGCGGUCUAAACCUUUGGCUCUCCCUGCACCACAGCAAACAUUGUACCUUUACUGUUCAA